CAAUGAUGGAUAUUUUUAAUACCCAUGUUGGGAUUCUGAGAAGAUUCCAUUGCGUCAAGAAUCAGAGGAAAAGGGAGGAUGAUUAUCCUAGGAAGUGAAUUACAGACAUAGAAACAGCACACGAGAGACAUGAAGAGAGGGUGGCUCACAAAGAAAAUAUACAAAGAAUCUAAAAGCUGGUUCUGUGAGAAGAAACAAGUUCUAAAGAGCCCUGGCUCACCUGACCCAAAGAAAGAACAAAAGAGAAGACUCAGAAUUGACAGAAUCAUAUUGAAUUCCAGCUCCAGCUCGGUUGUAUACCAGAGACUCUAGGAAUCUUCUAGAACUUCAG